rfam:Glarea lozoyensis 74030 mitochondrion, complete genome.
AGAGAAUUGACUGAGGGGUUUAAAGUGACAAGCUUGAAACUUGUUUGGUUUAUUAAAUCACAUCCGUUCAAAUCGGAUAUUCUCUG